rnacentral:rRNA from 1 species
AUUGAACGCUGGCGGCAGGCCUAACACAUGCAAGUCGAGCGGAUGAAGGGAGCUUGCUCCUGGAUUCAGCGGCGGACGGGUGAGUAAUGCCUAGGAAUCUGCCUGGUAGUGGGGGAUAACGUCCGGAAACGGGCGCUAAUACCGCAUACGUCCUGAGGGAGAAAGUGGGGGAUCUUCGGACCUCACGCUAUCAGAUGAGCCUAGGUCGGAUUAGCUAGUUGGUGGGGUAAAGGCCUACCAAGGCGACGAUCCGUAACUGGUCUGAGAGGAUGAUCAGUCACACGGGAACUGAAACACGGUCCAGACUCCUACGGGAGGCAGCAGUGGGGAAUAUUGGACAAUGGGCGAAAGCCUGAUCCAGCCAUGCCGCGUGUGUGAAGAAGGUCUUCGGAUUGUAAAGCACUUUAAGUUGGGAGGAAGGGCAGUAAGUUAAUACCUUGCUGUUUUGACGUUACCAACAGAAUAAGCACCGGCUAACUUCGUG